rnacentral:rRNA from 1 species
GGACUACUGGGGUUUCUAAUCCUGUUUGCUCCCCACGCUUUCGAGCCUCAGCGUCAGUUAUGGUCCAGAAAGUCGCCUUCGCCACCGGUGUUCCUACUAAUAUCUACGCAUUCCACCGCUACACUAGUAAUUCCACUUUCCUCUCCCACACUCCAGCCCGUCAGUUUUGUACGCAGGUCCCGGGUUAAGCCCGGGGAUUUCACAUACAACUUAACAGGCCGCCUACGCUCCCUUUACGCCCAGUCAUUCCGGACAACGCUCGCCCCCUAUGUAUUACCGCGGCUGCUGGCAC